UACGUAGGGGGCAAGCGUUGUCCGGAUUCAUUGGGCGUAAAGAGCGUGUAGGCGGCCAGGUAGGUCGGUUGUGAAAACUGGAGGCUCAACCUUCAGAGGUCGACCGAAACCAUCUGGCUAGAGUCCGGGAGAGGAGAGUGGAAUUCCUGGUGUAGCGGUGAAAUGCGCAGAUAUCAGGAGGAACACCGGUGGCGAAGGCGGGUCUCUGGGCCGUAACUGGCGCUGGAGGAGCGAAAGCGUGGGGAGCGAACAGG
rnacentral:rRNA from 1 species